rnacentral:rRNA from 1 species
CCUACGGGAGGCAGCAGUGGGGAAUUUUCCGCAAUGGGCGAAAGCCUGACGGAGCAAUACCGCGUGAGGGAGGAAGGCUCUUGGGUUGUAAACCUCUUUUCUCAAGGAAGAAGUUCUGACGGUACUUGAGGAAUCAGCAUCGGCUAACUCCGUGCCAGCAGCCGCGGUAAUACGGAGGAUGCAAGCGUUAUCCGGAAUGAUUGGGCGUAAAGCGUCCGCAGGUGGUUGUGUGUGUCUAUUGUCAAAGCAUCAUGCUUAACAUGAUAAAGGCAGUAGAAACUACACGACUAGAGUGCGUUCGGGGCAGAGGGAAUUCCUGGUGUAGGGGUGAAAUGCGUAGAGAUCAGGAAGAACACCGGUGGCGAAAGCGCUCUGCUAGGCCGCAACUGACACUGAGGGACGAAAGCUAGGGGAGCGAAGGGGAUUAGAUACCCUUGUAGU